UGUUUGAGUUGAUGAUUAGCA
rnacentral:siRNA from 1 species